rnacentral:rRNA from 1 species
AUCCUGGCUUAGGACGAACGCUGGCGGCGUGCCUAAUACAUGCAAGUCGAACGGUCUUUCUAUGGAAGCUUGCUUCCACUGAGAAGAUAGUGGCGAACGGGUGAGUAACACGUGGGGUAACCUGCCCAUAAGAGGGGGAUAACAUCCGGAAACGGGUGCUAAUACCGCAUAGUUUUCUUGAUCGCAUGAUCGGGAAAGGAAAGACGGCCUUUGUGCUGUCGCUUAUGGAUGGACCCGCGGCGUAUUAGUUAGUUGGUGAGGUAACGGCUCACCAAGACGAUGAUACGUAGCCGACCUGAGAGGGUGAUCGGCCACAUUGGGACUGAGACACGGCCCAAACUCCUACGGGAGGCAGCAGUAGGGAAUCUUCCGCAAUGGACGAAAGUCUGACGGAGCAACGCCGCGUGAGUGAAGAAAGGUUUUCGGAUCGUAAAACUCUGUUGUCAGAGAAGAACAAGUUGGAGACGUAACUCGCUCCAGCCUUGACGGUAUCUGACCAGAAAGCCACGGCUAACUACGUGCCAGCAGCCGC